AUUGAACGCUGGCGGCAGGCCUAACACAUGCAAGUCGAGCGGGGCGGGGGGCGGGUGAGUGAUGCCUAGGUAUCUGCCUGGCAGUGGGGGAUAACGUCCGGCAACGGGCGCUAAUCCCGCAUCCUCUCAGAUGAGCCAAGGGCGGAUUGGCUAGCUGGUGGGGUAAGGGCGUACCAAGGCCACGGUCCGUAACUGGUAUGAGAGGAUGAUCAGUGACACUGGAAAUGAGACACGGUCCAGAGUCCUACGGGAGGCAGCAGUGGGGAAUAGUGGACAAUGGGCGAAAGCCUGAUGCAGCCAUGCCGGGUGUGUGAAGAAGGUCGUCGGAUUGUAAAGUACUUUAAGUUGUGAGGCGUUACCAACAGAAUAAGCGCCGGCUAACUUCGUGCCAGCAGCCGCGGUAAUUC
rnacentral:rRNA from 1 species